UGGGUUUAAGGGUCCGUAGGCGGGACAAUAAGUCAGUGGUGAAAGUCUUCCGCUUAACGGGAGAAUUGCCAUUGAUACUGUUGUUCUUGAAUUAGUAUGAAGUGGUUGGAAUGAGUAGUGUAGCGGUGAAAUGCAUAGAUAUUACUCAGAACACCUAUUGCGAAGGCAGAUCACUAAUACUAUAUUGACGCUGAUGGACGAAAGCGUAGGUAGCGAACAGGAUUAGAUACCCUGGUAGUCUACGCCGUAAACGAUGGUCACUAGCUGUCUGGCCAAAUUGAUGGCUGGGUGGCCAAGCGAAAGUGAUAAGUGACCCACCUGGGGAGUACGUUCGCAAGAAUGAAACUCAAAGGAAUUGACGGGGGCCCGCACAAGCGGUGGAGCAUGUGGUUUAAUUCGAUGAUACGCGAGGAACCUUACCAGGGCUUAAAUGCAGUCUGACAGGGGUGGAAACACCUUUUUCUUCGGACAGAUUGCAAGGUGCUGCAUGGUUGUCGUCAGCUCGUGCCGUGAGGUGUCAGGUUAAGUCCUAUAACGAGCGCAACCCCUUUCGUUAGUUGCCAGCGAGUCAUGUCGGGAACUCUAGCGAGACUGCCGGUGCAAACCGUGAGGAAGGUGGGGAUGACGUCAA
rnacentral:rRNA from 1 species